CCUACGGGAGGCAGCAGUGAGGGAUAUUGGUCAAUGGGGGAAACCCUGAACCAGCAACGCCGCGUGCGGGAAGACGGUUUUCGGAUUGUAAACCUCUGUCCUCUGUGAAGAUAAUGACGGUAGCAGAGGAGGAAGCUCCGGCUAACUACGUGCCAGCAGCCGCGGUAAUACGUAGGGAGCACGCGUUGUCCGGAUUUCAUGGGUGUAAAGGGGGCGAAGGCGGGCUGUUAAGUCAGCGGGAAAAGCCCGGGGCUCAACCCCGGCGAGCCGUUGAAACUGGCGGGCUGGAGUUGGAGAGAAGUACGCGGAAUGCGCGGUGUAGCGGUGAAAUGCUUAGAUAUCGCGCAGAACCCCGAUUGCGAAGGCAGCGUACCGGCUCCACACUGACGCUGAGGCACGAAAGCGUGGGUAUCGAACAGGAUUAGAUACCCGGGUAGUC
rnacentral:rRNA from 1 species